rnacentral:tRNA from 1 species
UGUAGCUCAGUGGUAGAGUACUUGCCUCGAAUACAGGAGGCUCUGGGUUUGAUCCUCAGCA